rnacentral:misc_RNA from 1 species
AUGUAAACUAAGCCAUUACGCCAUGUUUUGUGCUUCGGCCCUUAAUCAUUACACCGUGUUUUGUGCUUCGCAGUGCUUCGGCCCUUAUAGCAACAAUUUGAACCAAAAAUUUUACUAAGAUAAAAGUGUGGAAAAUUGAAUAAUACUUUAAUUGAAUUAAAAUCAGAAUUGAUACCAAACCUAUUUAAUAUACUGAAUCGAAUUCUUUUGAUAUAUGUUUGAUAUAGGUUAUGUACAUGUAUGAUCAAAACUUGAGUAUCCAUUUAGUGAUUGUAUUAUUUAUCUGUUAUUAUUUGUCAUAAAUGACAAUGGCAUGGUCAAAUUAUCAACGUAUUUUAGCUACGCUUCAAAUAAUUACAGGCUCGUUUAAUACUUUAUCAGUUAAAUUUGCAGAUCAACAAGUUGUACUUGGAGAAGAUGGACAACUUAGAUAUUUCAAUCAUCCAUUUAUGCAAUCAUUAUUUAUGUUUUUUGGAGAGACUCUUUGCUUUUUAGCAUUUAAAAUCUUCUAUUGUUAUUAUAAUCGAAGAAACGACGGCUCUAUAGAUAAUAAUGUACUCACCAAGGGUUCAAGGAUUUUCAAUCCUUUUAUUUUACUAGUACCUGCAUUGUGUGAUAUGUUUGCAACAUCUAUAAUGUAUAUCGGGCUGAACAUGACUUAUGCAAGUAGUUUUCAGAUGUUGCGUGGAUCGGUAAUUGUUUUUACAGGAAUGUUAUCUAUUGGAUUUCUUAAUAAAAAAUUGGGAAUAAGAGAAUGGACAGGCAUCGGUUUUGUUAUAAUAGGCUUAGCAUUUGUUGGCAUCAGCGAUAUAUUAACAAUGGAAAAUAGCGACAUCAGUGCAAAUUCCGUAAUUACUGGAGACUUGCUCAUUAUAUUGGCCCAGGUGAUAACAGCUGUUCAAAUGGUUGUCGAAGAAAAGUAUGUGGGACAGCAAGAUAUUCCUGCGUUACAAGCAAUUGGGUGGGAGGGCAUCUUUGGAUUUAUUGGUAUUUCUAUCGCUAUGAUUCCACUCAAUUACAUUACUGCACCACCGCCUUUUGCAGAUAAUUCACGUGGUACACUUGAAGCUACUGAAGAAGCUUUCAUCCAAAUGGGAAGUAAUAGCAAAUUAUUGAUAGCUUUUGUCGGUAUAGCAUUUAGUAUUGCUUUUUUUAAUUUUGCUGGUAUUAGCGUUACUAAAGAAAUGAGUGCUACAACAAGAAUGAUCUUAGACAGUGUUCGUACAAUUGUUAUAUGGGUCUUUUCUUUAAUAUUUCGAUGGCAAGCUUUUCAUUAUAUGCAGCCAAUCCCACGUCAUCAAUAUCGACUUCACUCUCUUACCACCAAUCAUCGUUGACUCGAUGCCAGUACCUUAUGUGAAUGAAGUUAGAAACUUGGGUAUCAUCUUUACAACCUUUCAUGGAAAAAGCAUGUCCUACAUGUCUCGAGAGUGUCGUGCACGGAAGCGUCCCAGAUGCGCACAGUAAUAAACGGACACAGCAGGCUGAGUAAAAUGGACACAGACCAAAUUCGCGAAAUACUUUGGUCCAACUUUUAUUAAGAACGUUUUUGACUCUGCAAUACUAAAAAUAAUUGGCAGAAUAUUGUUGCAACUUUUAUAUUUAAAAAAACAAAAAUAAAAAGAUGUAUUUCGCAAAUUUAGCAGAAUAUCUUUCCUUCUAAAGUAUUUACAGAAACACAAUAAACAUCAUUUUUAACAACAGUUUCAAUCAA